rnacentral:rRNA from 1 species
UACGUAGGGGGCUAGCGUUGUCCGGAAUCAUUGGGCGUAAAGCGCGUGUAGGCGGCCCGGUAAGUCCGCUGUGAAAGUCGGGGGCUCAACCCUCGGAUGCCGGUGGAUACUGUCGGGCUUGAGUGCGGAAGAGGCGAGUGGAAUUCCUGGUGUAGCGGUGAAAUGCGCAGAUAUCAGGAGGAACACCGAUGGCGAAGGCAGGUCUCUGGGCCAUUACUGACACUGAGAAGCGAAAGCAUGGGGAGCGAACAGG